rnacentral:lncRNA from 1 species
CACAAACCCUCCAAGGUGCCUUAUUGCUUUGAUAAAACCGGUUAUCAAUGUCAAUUAGAACAGUACAAAAUACAUGGUGUGCCACGGCUUUCAGCCAAUCAGCAUCCAGGAGCCAAACGAGCCGGGUUUAUAAUGGGCAGAUUCGACGAUGAUGCUGCUGAGGUAAAAGGCCCGUCACGCCAUCAUCCGUAAUCUGUGCUGCUCUGUCAUUUUGUCAACGAUGCAACAGAAACAUCUCUUUCCCUUUUCAAUUUAAUGUUUGAAUUGUGUUUUCAUUGGGAAGGUAGAUAGUGUUUUUAUCAACAACAACAACAACAAACAAAAAAAAUGACUGGAAUGAAUUUUCAAAAAAAAAUCACUGAAGCUGGAGUUUGGGUUUAGUGGGACUAUAAUGUCUUCAUCAACAGGACAAUGACCCAACACACUUACCGGGCUGGUUAAGGGAUAUUUGUCCAAGAAGGAGAGUGAUGGAGUGCUGCAUCAGAUGACCACUAUCCCCCCCUGAUCUCAACCCAAUUGAGACGGUUUGGGAUGAGUUGGUUCCGCAGAGUGAAGGAAAAGCAGCCAACAAGUGCUCAGCAUAUGUGGGAACUCCUUUAUUUAACCAGGUGGGCCAGUUGAGAACAAGUCCUUUAUUUAACCAGGUUAGGCUAGUUGAGAACAAGUCCUUUAUUUAACCAGGUUAGGCUAGUUGAGAACAAGUCCUUUAUUUAACCAGGUAGGCUAGUUGAGAACAAGUCCUUUAUUUAACCAGGUAGGCUAGUAGAGAACAAGUCCUUUAAUUAACCAGGUUAGGCUAGUUGAGAACAAGUCCUUUAAUUAACCAGGUUAGGCUAGUUGAGAACAAGUCCUUUAUUUAACCAGGUUAGGCUAGUUGAGAACAAGUCCUUUAUUUAACCAGGUAGGCUAGUUGAGAACAAGUCCUUUAUUUAACCAGGUCGGCAAGUUGUGAACAAGUUCUCAUUUACAACUGCGAC